AUUGAACGCUGGCGGCAGGCCUAACACAUGCAAGUCGAACGAGUGGCGGACGGGUGAGUAAUGCUUGGGAAUCUGGCUUAUGGAGGGGGAUAACUACUGGAAACUGUAGCUAAUACCGCGUACCAUAGGAUGAGCCCAAGUGGGAUUAGGUAGUUGGUGAGGUAAAGGCUCACCAAGCAGACGAUCCCUAGCUGGUCUGAGAGGAGGACCAGCCAAACUGGGAUUGAGACAAGGCCCAGACUCCUACGGGAGGCAGCAGUGGGGAAUAUUGCGCAAUGGGGGCAAUCCUGACGCAGCCAUGCCGCGUGAAUGAAGAAGGCCUUCGGGUUGUAAAGUUCUUUCGGUAGCGAGGCGUUAACUACAGAAGAAGCACCGGCUAACUCCGUGCCAGCAGCCGCGGUAAUUC
rnacentral:rRNA from 1 species